rnacentral:rRNA from 1 species
UCCUACGGGAGGCAGCAGUGGGGAAUAUUGGACAAUGGGGGAAAGCCUGAUCCAGCAAUGCCGCGUGUGUGAAGAAGGCCUUCGGGUUGUAAAGCACUUUUAUCAGGAACGAAUUCUGUAAGGUUAAUAAGUGAUUUCUGACGGUACCGAGAAUAGCUCCG